rnacentral:rRNA from 1 species
UACGUAGGGUCCGAGCGUUGUCCGGAUUUAUUGGGCGUAAAGAGCUCGUAGGCGGCUUGCUAAGUCAGGUGUGAAACCUCCAGGCUCAACCUGGAGCCGCCACCUGAUACUGGUAUGGCUAGAGUCCGGUAGGGGACCACGGAAUUCCUGGUGUAGCGGUGAAAUGCGCAGAUAUCAGGAGGAACACCAGUGGCGAAGGCGAGUCCCUGGACAACACCUGACACUGAGGCACGAAAGCUAGGGGAGCAAACAGG